UUCUGGGUGCACGCCAUGACGGUGCUGAUAGGACACACAGGUGGCCCAGAGCCUCUUACUACGUCAAGACAGCGGGAGAUGCAUGCAGUAGCAAGUGCACAGAAAGUGGGCACUGGGUGGAAAGUGUUGCUUUAUAAAUAGCCAGAUCUCAAUCAUGACUAAGACGAAUGUAGAAAAAUGAUAAAAUUACCAGCCUCAAAACCUUGGUGCGUCACCGGGUUCCCCACUUCAGCUGGCUGCCCUAGCUGCACUGUACAGCUCAUUACUGGAACGUCGUCCAGGCCUGUCAUAUGCAGAGCCCUUGGGACUCACAAGACGCUCAAAUACUUACAUCCUCAGUCUGAUUCUUUCAUAUAAACUUGCAGUCGUUUUUGUGAAAAGAAAAAAUGUGUCUGAAAUAUGAGACCAAAAAUAAGCUUAAAUGAUGAGUGAUGGCAAAUUGGGGAGGCAGUCAGUUGACUCACCAUGCAGUGGAACGACUUGCUCUCUCGCUGCUGCAGGUGGGCACACUACGAGAAUUGCUCUUCUGUGUCACCUGGUCAUUGUGUUUUUUGCAUUAACUGAGGACAGAAAGGGAGGAAAAAUCUCUUUUUGUGCACAUACUCCUUUGAAUUGUAUGUUUGGCUUUUUUUGUUUUGUCAAAGGUUGCAAAACUUCCUCAAGUUGUUCAACAGCAAACACCCGUGGCCAGCAUCCAGCAAGUUGCCUCUGCUUCCCAGCAGGCUUCUCCACAGACUGUGGCGCUCACGCAGGCGACGGCGGCCGGGCAGCAGGUGCAGAUGAUCCCUGCAGUGACCGCGACUGCCCAGGUGGUUCAGCAGAAACUCAUUCAGCAGCAGGUGGUGACCACGGCGUCGGCCCCGCUCCAGACUCCAGGCGCUCCCAACCCAGCCCAGGUGCCCGCCAGCUCCGACAGCCCAAGCCAGCAGCCCAAGUUACAGAUGAGGGUCCCUGCUGUCAGGCUAAAGACACCUACUAAGCCUCCGUGCCAGUAGUCAGGGCAGCAGGGCUGCCUCUCAUCUAAAGCAAAACUACCUUCCUCACAGAAAACGCUUUAUUAGUGAACCUUGGGACCAUGUCACGCAAGAGAUUCAGCACUGGGAAAGAUAUAAUUGAAACAAAAUAGUGUAAUCAUUUUAUUAAAAUGCAUCCCACACUGCAGGACAAAUGGUCCUUAUGGAGUGCCGCAUUCUCUGUACUACGUGGCUCAUGGAAAAAGUGACAACAUGGCUUCCUCUAAAUCAUUUCACCUUUCAGUCCCCACCCGCACCCGUCCCCUAGAGCCAUAGUACUGUGUUCUGAAAGCCAUUUAGAAUUUCUUUGUGAGUAUGUAGUGCUUUGCACGCCACAGAAGCCGUCUGCCGUGUGUGAGGAGCAUACAAUGGACUUUCUAAAGAUAAGGCGUGGGCUUCCACGGUGUCUGCCAGAGUUUAGUUCUUUAUACCUUACUGAAAAAUGCCUCAUGGUCUUCGUAGAGGAGAAGACCUGUCUAAAGUAAAUCAUCCGAGAUUGGUUUUCCAUUCCAAAGAAAGGCAAUAUGGUUCCUUCCUUCCCUCCUAAAAUGUGACUUAACUUUUAAGAGAAAUGUUCUGACACCCACCUAAACACACAAGGCACGUUCCUGGCCUGUGUUCAAGGGAAAUGAUCAGUCAUUGCAUUGUUAUUCCAAAGAGCAGCCGACAGUGGCCUCCCCCAGGCCCUACCCCGCAAUGGGAUUCGCUUUCAUUUAAUGGAAACUUCUGGGACUGAUGCCCAACUCAGUGCACUCAAGACGCAUCUCCAGCUUUCGGGGGAAGCUGGUAUUUCACAUAGUGUGUUAAACAGCUCCUGAGAACCUUUGGGACACUCUGCCAUGGCUGGCAUGAGGCCCAGAGGACCACGCAGAGGCAAUGGUCGUACAGAUGUCACAGCUGAGGGUACCAUGAGGCCUGGGCUCAGUGAGCCAGGACGAAUGUGACAGACACCCCUUGCUGCCACAGUCAGCCCUUUGACGAAGGUGGGCUGGUGAUUCUGGAAGUAUUGGCUAUAGCAGUGGGCCCAGUCAACUCUUCCUUGUGGACUUACGACAGCAGAUUUUCUCUAGGAUAAGCUCGUGUGGUUCUGCCAGUGAAGCAGAGAACCACCUGUGCUGUUGUGGAAGGCGUGCCGUUGAGGGGGAAAACGAAGCCCAGUAUUUGCUACUGUUUUUCUUUUUUUUACUAUGACAAGAAAAUAAAUGCAAUUUUAGUGGAAUUGAUUGACAGUGUCUCCUUACUUUGAAGUUUUCACCAAAGCAAAAAGGUCCAUAUCCAAUAGUAUCCUUUGUGCUGUGGCUUGAUUUUGGCCUAUUUUACAUUAUUUGGUCCAGGAAAUUAGGUUAUAUUAGGUUUUUUGUAUACUAAAAAUCAGUUAUGGCACAAUAAAGAUUUUCUGUUUUUAAAUUGUAUUUCAUCUGCUUCCUCCCCAUUCUCUCACUUUAAGUGACAUUGAGGAAGGUAUUCUGUCCCACAGGUUUCUGUGGACAGCGAUACAGCAGGAGUCAGUGAAAUCAACUGGGGAGCUCACUUGAGCUCUUGAUAAGAAAUUUGGAGAAAAGUAAAAACCAAGCUUUGAAGAAACAGAAGAAAUUAAUCUUUUAGUUAGUUGAACAUACCAAAGCAGAGGACUGGAAUCUGUUUGUUCUAACCAACCCGUUCUCCCUGGCUCGGCACGUGCCAUGAGAGCGCAGCUUGCCGGAGGGAGGGCCGCUGUGUGCGCCUCACAUCUGGCUCCCAGUGGAAACUUUUACUCCUCCUCAUCCGCAGAUGUGAUAGAACUGAAGUAUCUAGGAAUUCUGCCUUUGUCAUUUGUUUUAAUUUGUGUGCCCUGUUCAUUUUUUUUGUCUUUCCCAAAUCUUGGUAGUCUCCUUAUAGUUGAAGAUAAAAUGUUGAGUGCACUUAUUUUAGAAUAUCCUAGACAUAACUAUCUAAGUAAAAGCGCUCUAUUAAUCUAAAACACUACAAGAGAAUUUAACACCAUCUCUCAAAUGCUUUUUUGGAGAGCUUAAUGGGAUUCUGAAUAUUUGCAAUGUGGAGUUUCCGCCCCGAUCUCACGUCAGUGAGGGUCUCCUGUCUCUCAAGUGUGUUUCCUUUGGCUGUUCCCUAAUACAAAACACGGACAUAUUUUUACUCGUAGCACUCAAUUUAGUAACUUCUAGAUGCUACCGUUGACCUGAGUUAAAUUCAUUUAGUCGUGUACGUAAAAACUCUCCUUUUAGUGUGUUAUUUUCUUGGCCUUCCCUUUUAAAGGUUAAAGUUUCUAACCUAAGAAUUAAGUACGCGUUCAGGAAGCUGAUGUCUAGGCCUUCCCCUUGUGAAUCUGGGUUCAUUCCAAUACGGCAAGUAAGAGUUGGAAACUUUGAGAACACAGACUAUAAAGGCAGCAGCCCGAACACUGUCAGACUCUAAUUGGCGACCCUGGGAAACAGUUGCCCUGCUAUUCUUUAAAGAAAGACGUUUAUUCUGAUGAUAAAAACAGUUAGCCAGACUGUUUUUAAAGCAUCUGGCGGGAAGCAGAAGGUUGGAUCCAAGCCCUUGUUCAGAUUUGGUGCCUGAUAAGACAGGGGUUUCUCUUUUUGUGAACUUUAUUAUUAUUAUUUUGUUAACUGUUGUAACCAGUUAGCUGUUGUGUUUUAAGAUAGAAAGGAACAAGACUAAAAUUGUAAAUACUUUGUAAACAUCAGCAUUUGUACUUGAAUAGUAGGAUUUUAAAGGGCAUUGAUAGCAUACCAAACAAAAGGCA
rnacentral:lncRNA from 1 species